ACCCUCAAGGAUGCCCUGCAGUAGUUGUUAAAGUCAUCAGAUGAAGCUAGCCUUCUCAGCUAGCCUUUAGAUUUGUCUGCUCACAGUAAAAAUACUAUAAUAAAUCGGUAACAUAUGUUGCCAAGCAAGGAAAAGUGAUAUAAAUAGACAAGGAGACCCAAACCAAGUUCAAUGUGAAAAGAAUUUAACUUUCAAUCUAGUUGCUGGCUAAUUACCAUUUGAAAAGUAAUUUGAAAGUGUUACUGUUACUUGCUUAUAUGCUUCCUGUUUUUCUUUUUUGCUCUUCAGAUUGCAUUCUUACCCAAAUACUCUCCGUGAUUGCCUGCUUUGCGGCUUUGGGGGAUCCUCAGUGUAGAAUAAGCAGAAGCACACUCAUAAGAACUGGACCUUGAUUUCACAGCCUCAUACAAAGCCAGGCAAUUCUUGAGCCAAACAAACAAAGGGGGUAUUCUUCAGGGAGUGGGGAACAUUCACAUGGACUGAUACCCUAGUUUUCUAACAUGCCCCGAGGAUUGAAUCCAGGAUCUCACCUGUGCUAGGCAAAGGAAGUGGCUGCCAUAUUAUGAGCAGUUCUCCAGAGAGACCCAUAAAAAUGAGAAAUGGGCCUCUGGUCAACUGCCAGUGAGGAGCCACAGCCUGCCAACAGUCCAGCUCCUGGACCAUGAGACGACUGCAGCUCCACUAACAGCUCAACUGAGCAACACCUGGAUAUCUGACCCAUACAGACAGAGAGCUUGAAUUCAAAUCAUCCCUAUCUGAAAAAGGAAGCCACUUGUUAGAACACAGACACCAUUGACAAUUAGACAGGAUCCUGAGGAGAAGAAAGGAGGCCUGGGCAAGGUGAGUGCUUUUGUGUUUAUAUAGUAUGUCAUGUGUUUUGAAGUCCCCCCCAAGGAUAAAGGCCCUUUCUCCCACUUCAAAAGCCAUUUUCAUGUUUUUGUAAUUACUAGAAAUUAUGGGUUAAACCCCCUUCACAUGUAAUUUAUUUCACCAUGUAUCUCAUAUUUUGUGAUAACAUGCAAAUACCAUAUGUUGUACUUUCUCUUUAUGGAUGGAGGAGGGAAGGGAGGAGAACUGGCAGAAUUAUCACUAGGCACUGCAAAACCUUCUAUUGAAAUCCACAUUUACCAUGGUGACAUUUACUAGUUGUGGCAGAGCUGAUCAACUGCAGAUUUUCCUGCUGCUGAGGCUAAAUUGCAAGCUGCUCAUAAUGCCAUCAGAUGCUGCAGGGAUUUUAGCCAAUGAGAACUUUGGGAAUGCUCUCUUUGCUUGCUGUUUUCUAUUGUCAUGCAGCAACCCCCCCAACAUGCAUGUAAAGUCGACACACACUCUCCCCUGUUUGAACUUGAUUGACCUAACACAGCACUUUGUUGGAAUAAAUUUAUCUUCCACGGUCUUAGGGGUUCCAAAUAAUCAAACCAGAAAUCUCAAUGUAUUCCCAGGGCCUUCAUUUUUGUUUUCUCUAACAGGCAUUUAUUUUUCUAUAUGAAAUGGUCAAUACUUAGGCAUAUAUAUUAUUUAUAAGACUGAAAGAGAAAAAAAAGAACCCACAUCAUGUAUUCUGCUAGUCUAUUUCAUCUAAGGCAAAAUGUUUUAUGCCAGGCCAAGUGAGUCAAAAACACAAAGCUAUUAUUCAACCCAAAGCUUCUUCAAUCAUUUCUUUACCAACAAUGUUGAAAAGAUGUGAUUUUACAAGCAAACAGGAAGAAAAAGCUUGAAUCCACCCUGGGAACAUGUUUAAGAAGUUGAUUUAUGUUGCAUGCUGAGUCUUACACCUGCAGUUCAAGCAAAACCCAACUUGGCUGCCCCACAGAGUCUGGUUUAUUAGGUAUCAAGGAGUCGCAAGAAGCCAUGUAAUUAAAACCGUAAUUAACUGGAAAAGGAAAGUGCCACCUGAGUUUUGAGAGGCUGUCAAUUUUAUUUCUAUUACAGCUCUCCUUCUGGUUCUUCUCUUGACUUUUUAUUUUCCUUUGCUCUAUAGGAAAACAAUAUAUAUAUAUAUACACACACACACAUACCAUACACAUAUUUUUAAUGCAUUAACAUGUAUAAAUGGCCACUUAUGAAAAAGGUCACAAGGGUUGUUACCUGCUUCAGUUUUUCCAGAUCAACUUGUUUGGCGGAAAAGCAUUCCAUGAGUGCACAGCAGCCACCAGGCACAUGUAGCUGCGGAGUACUGUAAAUGAAGCAGUCUGAAUGGAGCUGUGCUCAAAGUGCCAAAUACACAUAAGAUUUUGAAGGCAGAGAUAUACAUGCUUUGGGGCCAAUGCUGUGACAGGGAACCUCUUGCAGCUAUGACUUCAACUCCAGCACAGAUGUUCCUGACAAAGACGUAUCUAAAGCACAUCCUGUAAUACAACAUAUGGGAACAGAAGUACAAUAAAGAUAGAAGAUAAGCACCAAGAGGGAGUGGCUGAGGGAUAAGGAAAAUGGAGUGGUCACUUGCAAAAUGAAGGCAGAAGUUGGAGUUGAGGGGGAGCAAGGAGAAAGAUUUUUCUAUAAGAGCCACCCCACACAGUGGCAGGGAGCAUGAUCUUGAUGGCAUAUUUGAGGAAUUAUGCAUUCCGUCUCCUUUUUUCACACUAAACUUUCACCUGGCCUUGUGAUCCCAUUAUUUUCGCUGGCAUUGCUCUAGUCCCAGGGUGAUCCAAGGCCUUGUAAGUUCAUAGAGUGCUAUUACAAUUGACAGUAUGGAUUCCGGAGUUGAGCUAGGAUGAGCUCUGGACUCGGCCUCACCAAUUGAUAUCUACCCAACUUUAGGAGAGUUGUUUGUUCUCUAUGAGUUUUGGUUUCCUCAUCUGUAAGAUAAUGAUAAUGAAAGAGCCUAAUAUAUGUAUGUGUGUAUAUAUUAAUUGGCUUUGUGUGUAAAUGUGUUUCCUUUGUGUCACUUUUGAAACACAUACUGACUUUUUUUUUUUAAUUGUUUGUGAGUGCUGAAUUAGCCCAUUAUUUAUUUAUUCAAUAGGUUCAAUUAUUGGAGUGGGGCUUUAUAGAUGACACAAUGGCUGCAACAUAAGCAAUGAAUAUUGGGGACACCUACUUUCCUCCUUUCUUCACUCAGACCUCUGAAAAAUGUUGUAUCUUAAGUAGAUUGGUCUCUUACAGUGAGUUACAGGGAGCACAUUUUUAUAACAUUUCUGGCUUCCACUUUGAAGUCCCCUGAAUCCCCAUUUUGUGGACCUCCCAGUGGUAAUGGUGGACUCUAAGAGCUGAGGGGCUCAGUCCUGUAGCCACAAAACCUGUAUCAGAAUAGAACUGCUCCAGAGAGAGGCUUAGUGCAGCCUUGACUUCAAGAUCAAGAAUUGUCUGCUUGAGAAGCAAAUGGCUCCACAUGGAGUUCUAGGAAUUGUACUGACUCCUUUCAAUAAAACAGAAGUGUGUGUGUGUGUGUGUGUGUGUGUGUGUGUGUGUGUUAAGAUCUGGCCAGCUUCUUUUCAGAAAAGA